CAGAAUACGACAGGACUUAAUCAACUCAAUGGUUCCAGGACAUCACUACACAUGAGAAACAACUGAAGAGCUCUACAACAUACGGAUGCCCAGCCUACACCCAUACAACUCAAUACAUGGUCUGGGGUGACAACCAGGUACCUGGACGCUUCAAGGAUCCUCAAGUGAUUCCAAUUAACUAUAGCACCAACUUGACUCCUUCUGGACCCAAGAAACUGGCCUUUCCUUAAGUACUCUGAGGCCACCAUGAAAUGAAGAGCCUUGAUCUACCACAUCCUCCCAACAUGAUGUUGCAGACCAUGAACUGAAUCCCCUGAAACUGACCACGCUUACCCGCUUGGCAACAAGGGCCUCCUGCUGCUCCUCCCACUUCUUCCGCUCGGCUCUCAGGAGCGCUUUGUACUCUGUGAGCUCUGGCAGUUCUUCCAGCCAUCGACAACGAGCAUUUUGCACAGCUGUUUCUACCUGGAGGACAUCACAGGAAAAAGAAGUAGAGGAGGUGUACAGCUUCAGGAAGACUUAUAUUCAAACAGCAGCCGCAAUUUCAUGUGUAUUUGCAGUACAUCCCGCAACAUUGCAGUUACAGUGACUUCAACUACCUUGCCUUAUCUCAAACGGUUGACUGUAAUCCUUUCUCUUGGAUCCCCCUAUAUUGUCCCAUGCAAAUGCCACAACAGGAAGAGAGAAUCUACAGAUGAGUGAGAAACAACACUAUCAUCUUAGAAUCCUUUACACGAAGUACCAUUUGGCAUUUCCAACAAGGGUCUAUUUAUCUUGGGGAGAAGGACAAGGCACACCAGAGGGUUGCCUGGUGACAGCUGCUACCCAGUCACUACCCUGCACAUACACACCACUAAAGUGUACAGCCUUACACCUGUCAUUUUCCCCCUGACAAGAAUUAGCUUGUACAAGUCCAGCAUGGGAGCACAUGCUUGUCAGCCCACUACUCUGGGAGGCUGAGGCAGGAGGAUCCAAAGUUUGAGCCCAGCCUGAGCAACUCAGUGACUUAAUG